AAAAAAUAAAUGAAAUGAAAAGGCAAAGAAAGCCAUCAGUGAAGUGAAAAUAGAUGCAGCAGAUGUAGUACUGCAUAAAAAUCAUUUCUCAAGUUGCAAGAUUUCGCAGCCGGCUACUGGAAAAAUUGCUACAACCUUGACUCAAAGUCGCUAUCAACGGCUUUCCAUUCCGGGUGGUGAUAUUUUUUGUAUUUAUCUGACAUGCUACCAAAGCAUUGCCGACCCCGGCAAUCCGGAGGUAAUCAAGGAAUACGAAUAGCAGGAGAGGCGGAACUCACGGCCUGUUAAAAUAAACGGCUGAUAAAAAGCAGAAACAGAAAAGGGAAGGAAAAGCUGCUGUAAAGCAAAAGGUAAAAAGCCGCUGCCGAUGAAAAGAAUGCACCGGUAAACUGUUGUCCAAAUCAAAAAUUUGUAUCGGUAAUUCACUUAUGCCACAUUCGCAGCAUGCAAUCCAGGUAAUUGGCAGGAUGUGACAACUUUCCUGAACAAAAGCUUGACCUGACUUCACAAUCGGCAUGAGCAUUCAUGGCAGUGGCAAGUAACCGAAUGGUGUUAGCAGUAAAAUUUUCUAAAACUGCUGGUUGAUCAUCUAUAGACAAUUGCCGGUGAAGUAAGAAAAAAAUAUCGUUUCCGGCUUAUGCGGUUUGAUCUGUAUUUCGGACAACUGCAGAAUAUCUUCUAAGUAAUUUUAAUUUGCCAUCUGACAAAUAACUUGGAAUGCUUAUUGUAGCUCACAACAUUAGACACAAGAUAAGAAUGAAAGGCCGUUGUUUUCAGGAGCACGGCGCCGGUGCUGUUUCCGACGAUAUGCCAUUACGUUUUCGCCCUCAGCGUUUACCUUCUAUUUAGCAGAGUAUGUCACCAAUCCAAUACCACCAAUCGAAAUCCCGCUGAGAAUCAAAACGGUGCUUAAUAUCAAGCCACCAACGAGCAGAAAACUGUCAUGAAAUCGCACCCAAUGAGUCCCAGCGCAAGACAAAUCCGCUUAUUGCUUUGUGACACUCUCCAAUAGAGGAAAAUUGCGCAACCUAUCGCACAAAUACCCGGGUUUACUAUCAGGCUACACAAUCGAUCGAUGCCAACGGAGGCCAGAGGAUGCUUUGAUACGAUACCGAAUUACUCACAGCUCAUAGCGUCGUUCGGAUAGCUGUGCAUAGAGUAUUGCGAAAGAUUCUGACGCCAGGCUGAUGAUACUCCCAAAUCAUUUCUUUCUUUUCUACAAAGUUCGCUUUUUGGGAAGCAUCAUAUAGUGGAUUCCGUUUUUUAAUGCGAUCGUUCGCUCUCAGACGAACUUCAACAAUCCAGAAACCGUAGAUUUAAUCAUCCCUUACUUGGAGUAUCCGGUGUAAAUGUCCGAGGCAUCUAAGACAGCUUGGGGUAACCUAGCAGAUCCACUACAAUGGACAACGGCUAAUGCUAAGAUCUGCGAUGACAACAAAGAUACACUUUUACUGAACGCAAAAUUAUGCGAGAAAUUGGAAGAAGCUUGAAAUAGCUACAGUACGGUACAUUCACAGAAAUUUGCCCCGUCGAUUGAAGAUGGUAAAGAACCAGAUUCCUAUAUUGGAAUUUUCGAAAAGAUUAGGCGAAAAUUGGCAAUAAGCUGAAAUCAAAGCAAAUUCUUGAUCUUAAUCGAAGUUGCAAAAGCCAAUCAUGGGAAAAUGCAAGAAUUGGAAACAAAUCUCUUUAUAAAUUCGGAUUCUUGUCCACAUGACAAACAUCGAAUGCUGUACAUUUUUCGCGGUGAACGUGGCAAGGACUUCAUGACGAACUCCCUUGUUUACGAUCAGGGAAGCGGUGAAUUAUCCAGCAUGAUACCAGAAAACGACUUGAAAACUGUAUGCUACUAUCGGCUGGAAAAAGGAUGAAAUUUAGUGUUUGACAAGUCUUAGUAAGGACAAGGAACCUCUCGGCAUACUCGGCAACUCGUUUUGGCUCGGCUCACAAAUCCAUAGUAAAUAUUUUCGUACUUGAUCGGAAACAGCUGAAAGAGUUUUACAGCUAGCUUUCCUAAUCUUUAAAUCAGACAGUGCAGAUUGUGAAACUUAACCAGCAAAUCUUUCACCGUGCCCGCCAGAAGAAAAUUUUAACCCGAAUAGAAUCACCAAGAAGUGGCAACGAUGCGGACACGGAGGCUUCUAAUAUCAGCUCGCUCAGUAGCGCACGGCUUACUGACAGUGAAAUAAAAUAGCAAAUGAACAAUUUUUUUUCUUUAGGUUGUACCACAUAAUCACUCAAAUUUUAAUUGAAAA